rnacentral:lncRNA from 10 species
CUGAGCUGCCCCCAGGCUCUGCAAUGGAAAGCAUCAGGCUGGACUUGGACAUUCUGGGUGGGAAGUGUCUGGAACCUGGACGCUGGCUUGGAGAGGAGCCUCAGGAGGAAUCGCCAGGAUUCUCAGCUGUCGAGAAUGUCACCCGCUGCUGUACUCCCAACAGCAAGGGAGGCACCUGGCACGUCGUGAGCAACUCUCGUGUAUUUGUUGCAUGAUCUAGUCCAAGAAUGGCCAAUGAGUUUCACCUGCCAGUUUUCACAGGCCUGUGUGCCGAGAGUGUUCCUUACCAUUUUUUCAUUAUUAUUCUGCUAAGGAGGAUUUUUAGACAUUAUGUUCCUAGUCAAGCCCUCACCUCUGCAAUGAAAUUAUAAUACCACUGUUGACCCAAAGAUGAGCAGCAAGCGCUAGAACUGAGGGAAAUCAUGGUGAGAUUUAUUCUGAGCCAAGCUGGAGGACUUAGGCCCAGGAACACAGAAUCUGUGUCCACUGAGAAUGUAUCUCAAAGCAGGCUCCAUGAGGCACCGUGCACUUACAUUUUCUAACAGGCGGACGUAUGUGGCCCAGAAGGUGGGAGAGGCAAGCGGUGAGCAGCCGUGACGUUCCUGAGAUUCUGAUGAGCGCUCGGUGGCACUGCCCACAUGAUAAG